ensembl:lncRNA
AAACUCUUGGAAUUUUGCACACAUGCCAGGUCUGGUGAAAAAUUUUGUAUUUUAAUGGUUUUACAUAUGAGCACUGGGAAAUGGCUCUGUAGCGCCACCUAUGCCUUGUUAAAUGCAGCCCUACGAACACAUCGUUUUAGCUACAUGUAUGAAAUUUGGCACACAUGUGUAUCAUGCCAAGACGAACAAAAAAGUCACUGGGACCAUUGACGCAAACCCAACAGGAAGUCCGCCAUUUGGAAGUGAAGGUGACAUUUUGGCUCUAAUUUUGCCAUUUCCAUGCCUCGAACUUUUUCGAACUCCUCAUUGGAAUUUCAUCGUACAAGCUUCAUAUUUGGUCAGUGUCAACUACACACCUG